AAUUUUGCGCAAUGGGCGAAAACCUUACGCAACAACGCCGCGUGGAGGAUGAAGGUGCUCUGCAUUGUAAACUCCCCUCGGCCGGGAAGAAUUGUCGGGGUGCUAAUCAGCCCCGUNUUGACUGUCCCGCCAAAGGAAGCCCCGGCUAAUUCCGUGCCACCAGCCGCGUUAAUACGGAGGGGGCAAGCGUUUCUCGGAAUUAUUGGGCGUAAAGGGUGCGUAGGCGGUUUCGUGCUUCAGGGGUGAAAUCCCCGGGUUUAACCCGGGACUUCCCUUUGAUACGGCGAGACUUAAGUCCGGGAGAGGGGAGCAGAAUUCCCAGUGUACCGGUGAAAUGCCUAGAUAUUGGGAGGAAUCCCAGUGGGGAAGGCGGCUCCCUGGCCCGGUACUGACGCUGAGGCGCGAAAGCGUGGGUAGCAACCAGGAUUAAAUACCCUGGUAUUCCACCCCUUAAACGAUGGCUGCUUGGUGUCGGGGGUAUCGACCCCUCCCGUGCCGAAGCUAACGCAUUAAGCGCCCCGCCGGAUAGACG
rnacentral:rRNA from 1 species